AGAUGUUUGAGUGAGCCCAGAUGCCAUCAGCAGAGUCUGGACCAGGCCGGCAGAAUCGCCCGUCUGAGACCAGCCGGGACUUCAGACCCUCACAUCUGUGGGCUACGGUGAUGAACAGUCGUUUCCGUUGAGACUUAAUGAUGUCCAGCCGGGCUGUGGUUGGUUCCUAACAGAGAAACAGAAAUCAUAAAACAGAAAGGAGUCCUGGAGACAGCAUAAUUUUCCAGAGGAGUGUACUUUGGACCGAAGAGCCAAGGGACUUGCUCAGAGUCGCAGCCAGCUAGUGGCAGAGCCAGGAGCAGAGCCCAUGCCUCCAGACCAAGAAGUCUGCCUUCCCCAGUGUAAGGAAUGUCCUGUGAACCACAGUACACGGGUGCAAACUGACCAGCCAAUGAUCCAUUAACCAGAGCUUACUGAUGAUUAUUAGUGGAUCUGGUUAGGUCUCUGCUUUGCUCUCCGCAUUGGGCUAAGACUGGAGGAAAAUAUGAGGAAAAACAGAAAAGUGUGGUGGACUCAGAAGCUGUGAGGUGCACGGUAGUAAGUCAGCUUCUCAGUGUUUGCAAUUUCAGUGAAGCUCUUGUGCUUCUUGUUAAUUUUUCCAAUAAAUAUUUAU